ensembl:lncRNA PLCL2-AS1 PLCL2 antisense RNA 1
UCAGGUCUGCCCAUGGACAUUCUCUGCACACAGCUAUUAUGGUCAGUACCUGAAAGCUCAGUCCCUCUCCUGUUCUACACAAACACCAAUGUCUCCCCAGUGCCUCACACACCAACUUGAGACUCCUGAGUAACACACGCAUCUGCAUUUUCAAUCAACGCCUUGAGGGACUGAAUCAUCUGCAAAGGGAACAUCCAGACAUGAGAUUACACCUGACAACUAGAUCCCCUCCUGCAUUCAUGCACAAGGCUCUUCUCCUAAAACAGGCUGAUGUGAUGAUAUUAAACGCUUUUUUAUCUGACUUUCCACUA